GCAUGAAAAAACGGCUUGUUUGUAGAAUUUCUUUCAUUAAAAAAGGAUGAUGUAAAAUUAAAAAGCAUUUAGGACUAGUAAGAUUGCCACCUUAUCGGCUUGAGGGGGAGGUUGAGGGUUUGGUGCAAACUGAGGCAAACACCCCUCGUUGGGACUCCCAAUUGCAUUGCAUUUCUCAUCAACAUUUUUACUUAUUACUCAUUCCUCAUGUCAUUUUUGGGAUAGAAUAGUUAGACACUUUAGUUAGAGAGUAUAUAACCAAUGAAAAAAAAUACAAAGAAAUGUAAACUAAGAUGAUCCAUCAUAGAUAUAAAUUUUGAAAGUCAAUAAAAAGCUUAAACAGAUGAACAAAUCUUAAACAGAAGUACUAAAACAUCUUUAAUAUCAAUAAAUACAGCACAAAGAAUUUGUAAAAUCAUAACAUUUUAGGAGCAGAGUAACCCAAAGAGGGCAGCAAAGACUAAUAACUACAGAAGAGAAAAGAGAAAAAUACAACCAGCCUGACUUGUUAAUGGACUAUCAUAAAUACUACAACGUAUACCAAUUUUCAUUGAAAUAAUAUGUAGUUUUAAAGAGUUGUGUGUAAAGUGAUAUGUAAAAAAGUGUAAAUGAGGUUGUGUGAGUUUUGCGUAUGUGAAUAUGUGUAUGUGAGGAGGAGGGUGGGGUUUGUCAAGAAACAGAAAGACACCAAAGAAUAUUGCAUGCAGAUUUAAUUUGUGACUCAUGGUGCAUCCCUUUGUGUAACCAUUAUUUGACAAAGCAGGAACAUCAGAUUGCAUACGAGUAUUGCUGUAUUUCAGAAUGAGCUGUAAAACGAUUUGGAAAAAAUAUAGCGCCAAGUAUAAAAAGACAUGACAACAUUUGAUGAAUAACCCAAAUUAAUUAUACCAAAUCUUUUAAGACCAAGGGCACAAAAUCUGGCACACGUCUGGACUCUAUUAUAGGUUCUAUUCUUCUUCAACUUCAACAGUGUUUUUUUGACAUUAUUAUUAUUAGGAGGUGCAUAUCAAAUCAUCAAUUGCUUACUGACACCUUCAUUAUGUUGUUACAUCACUACAUUGUCCACAAACAUAUUAAUCAGUUUUUCUUUUGGUAUAAAUCCAUUGACAUUUCAGCUGCAUCGUUUCAAUUUUUUCAACACAGUUAGUAGUCUAAUCAAAGACGCGUGACACAUGCACACAUUGCGACACUGUACAGGAUGUAAACACAGUAUUUUUGCCAACUUGGAUCAUGUGCUUCGCUAUCUUCCUCAUGCUCUUACGGUGGUUGCACCUCACCAAAUACUACUCCCUUCCUGCCAGUGGAAGCACAUGACUGUUUUGCGAUUGUUGAAACAAAGAUGUGGAGUGGUUGCUACAAAGACAAAAAUGAGCAAAAACAUGCCGUGUGUUUGAACAGAGGUAAGCUGACUACUUGGAAUAAUCUAAGAUAAAAAUACAGAGUUCUGUAGAUGUUUCUCUAAAGUGCUGGUGCUUGCUUGGAGAUUGUGCUUCUGACAGUUUUAUGCUGGAAAUCUUGAUUUCAUCCUCCCUACAGCUUACAUUACAGCUCAGUUUGAUCCAGCCCGGGUAAUUCUCCAAGAAAUCAUUCAACAGUUCCAAGAAGUGAAGUACUAUCAAAACACUAUGAACACAUGGAGCAUGUCCUUUUGUGUGUUGUUUUCCAAAAAGAGGCAGGAAAAAGCCAAGACGUAAAAAAAAAAAAAAAAAGGAGUGUGAAAAGAGGUGGAGAGACAGAGGGCACAGUAAGGAUACCCUUUUAAAAGAAAAGAGUCAACAUUAUAAGUGGAAAAAAAUGGAGAAGGGGUUAGUUUUGUGAACAGGCAUGUGUCCAUUUCUUCCUCCUUUGGGAAUAUGUGGUCACACUUUAUCAACAUCAGCCUUGGGCAUGAAGCCAAACGCACACAUACACAAACACACCUACGCACACACCCACACACACACACACUCCACAACCAAAACACUGGAGUGAGCUGCAGUUUUGUAGGCCAUGUGUGUUCAUUUAGUGCCUUUCUAAAGGUCCUGACUGUGCUUUUCAUGAAUAAAUCUGCACUUAUCUUGUUUUAUAUAAAUAUCCGCAUAAACUUGAUAUUUAAUCUUUUGCUUAAAGACAGACAGAAAACACAUGUCUAUUACUCUGGUAAGAUUCCAUGGAAGUUGAGGAUUAGAGGAUAGAACUUCAGGAUUUAUAGUAGGUUUCAAUACAUUUGACCUGAUUCUUGUGAAAUCGAGAACAUUGGCCUUUAGUCUUGGUAAAACUAAAAGGUCAAGCUUUUUUUUGUUUUCGUUUUUGGAAAAAAAUAUCUCGGUAAUCGUGCAACAACAAUUCUUUUGAGCUGCGUGAGACAACUUUAGUCCUGUCGGAGUGUAACCUAGGUGUCUGAUCAGACUCUGACUUAAACCUGUUUUUUGUUUAAUUUUGCUGUGAGAUCAGGAAACAACCUUUCCUUCUAAUACCGUUAGAGAACAAAUUAUGAAAUCCACAAAAACUGCUAUUAUUGAAGUAAAAAAAAACUUGAAAAACUGAAAAGAAAAAUGAAUGUCUUGGCAAAACUGUAAUACUUUUUUUUUAACUAAGUUAAAAGAAAACAUGAAACAGCUGUCAUGCAGAUCAUAUUUACAGGUUUUUCUUGUUAGCUUUUUGCCUUAAUGUUAACCCUUAAAACCAAAACAUUGUUCAAAAAAUGUUUUAUUCUUAACACAUAAAAACCCAGAAACAUUAAAAAAUGACCAAAUAGAAGUGGUGAAAAAUUAAAAUCAUUGUCUUGAAAAUAUUAAGUUAUAGAAUUAACAAAUCUGUUUUGAUGCUAAAAAACUUUGAUGCUAAAAAACUUCAAUCUGAACAAGAAAACCCUAUGAACUAUAAUAAAAUAAACAUAACCAAAAACGCCAGAUUCCUGUAAUCAGUGUUUUGAAAUGACCAGAUGCAGAGGAAGUAAUUGUGUUUAUGUCUGUUACAAGUAAAAAAAAUGCAUGAAAAAAAAGUAAGAGUAAGUGUCAAGUGCCAUGAAUUUUCUCGAUGUAAUGACAAAUAUUAUUCUAAAAGUAAUUCAUUCACAUUUUAUUUCAUGACAUUAACUGAAACAACAAGUCAGAUUCCAAGUUUUCAACAUGUACAGUAUUUUUCUUUUGACAAAGAGCUGAGUGCAGACUGCUUCAUGACACACAGAGGUCAACUUUCUCCAUGGUGUUCAUGCAGCAUUUUUUUUUUCCUGGAAACCCAAAGUCCUGGUAAAAUUCAUUCCUAAAAUUCACUCGUCCCCAGCUGUUGGCCACAUCUCAGAAAGUACACAACUCCUAACUAAACAAUGUGACUCCAUAUGCACACAGAGGCUCACACAUAAUGUGAGCUCACUCAAGUUUGGCGCAUGCAAAAAUACUUUAAACAGAUGCAAUGACAUGCACACAUAGGAGACCACAUGGGAAGCCCCACUCAUUGAUAUGACAGGAAGUGCUCCUCCCCUGGAUUCCAAUUGGUUAAAGUGAUAGCCAAUGAGAAGGGAAGUUGGAAUAGGAGUGGAGUUUUUCUUUUUUUUUUUUCUUCUGUAUCUUAUUUUACAGUCUAUCUCACUGCAUGGCAAUUUGAUGUUAUGUUUUUUUAAAAUAUAUAUUCCUUCUGCAUUUUUUUCAGACCCUCUUUUUUGCCAAGAGGCGUAAUCUUUCUCGUUGGAUUUUUUUUAUGUAACAGCCAUUAAACCUGAGGCAGUGGGAUGAAAAUGGAAAAGCAGAUGACAUGAAGGAGGCAGUGACACAAAGAGAUAGAGGCAGAGAGGCCAUGACCAACACAUGGUUUUGUUUUCUGUGUAAUAAAAGCAAUGAAUGUUUCUUUUUUGGUUCCACUUGAAUAAAUGUGAGAGUGCAUGCACAAAAAACAUAACAAAUUCAUUAUCCCAGUAACACCCAUUGGUUUGUUUUCAGUGCCAAGGGAAAAAUAAAAAAGACAGUUAUUUGUUUUUGACAAUUCUUUUUUAAGAAAGCUUCACUCACAUAAAGUUAUAAUUGAAUAUUUGGAUGAAAUGACACUUUAUAGAAUUAUUUAAUUAUGUUUAUUUAUAUUAUAUUAAACUAACACAUGCUCCUGUUUUAUUUCUGGCCAAUAAGAUGCUGUCUUUAUCAAUUUUCAAAUUCCUGAAAGAAAAAACAAAGUGAGCUUUGAAAAUAGUAAAUGUUAGCGAAACAUCAAUUUUUUAACAUAAAUGUUGUACCAUAAGGCUACUCUGAAUCUUCUUUCUAUUUGAAAAUAGCAAAAAAAAA